rnacentral:rRNA from 1 species
UACGUAGGGUGCGAGCGUUGUCCGGAUUUAUUGGGCGUAAAGGGCUCGUAGGCGGCGUGUCGCGUCGGGAGUGAAAGACCGGGGCUUAACCCCGGUUCUGCUUCCGGUACGGGCAUGCUGGAGUGUGGCAGGGGAGACUGGAAGUUCCUGGUGUAGCGGUGGAAGUGCGCAGAUAUCAGGAGGAACACCGGUGGCGAAGGCGGGUCUCUGGGCCAUUACUGACGCUGAGGAGCGAAAGCGUGGGGAGCGAACAGG